AUUGAACGCUGGCGGCAGGCCUAACACAUGCAAGUCGAACGGUAACAGGAAGAAGCUUGCUUCUUUGCUGACGAGUGGCGGACGGGUGAGUAAUGUCUGGGAAACUGCCUGAUGGAGGGGGAUAACUACUGGAAACGGUAGCUAAUACCGCAUAACGUCGCAAGACCAAAAAGGGGGACCUUCGGGCCUCUUGCCAUCGGAUGUGCCCAGAUGGGAUUAGCUAGUAGGUGGGGUAACGGCUCACCUAGGCGACGAUCCCUAGCUGGUCUGAGAGGAUGAUCAGCCACACUGGAACUGAGACACGGUCCAGACUCCUACGGGAGGCAGCAGUGGGGAAUAUUGCACAAUGGGCGCAAGCCUGAUGCAGCCAUGCCGCGUGUAUGAAGAAGGCCUUCGGGUUGUAAAGUACUUUCAGCGGGGAGGAAGGGAGUAAAGUUAAUACCUUUGCUCAUUGACGUUACCCGCAGAAGAAGCACCGGCUAACUCCGUG
rnacentral:rRNA from 1 species